GACGAACGCUGGCGGCGUGCCUAAUACAUGCAAGUAGAACGCUGAAGGAGGAGCUUGCUUCUCUUGAUGAGUUGCGAACGGGUGAGUAACGCGUAGGUAACCUGCCUGGUAGCGGGGGAUAACUAUUGGAAACGAUAGCUAAUACCGCAUAAUAUUAGAUGUUGCAUUACAUUUGCUUAAAAGUUGCAAUUGCAUCACUACCAUGUGGACCUGCGGUGUAUUAGCUAGUUGGUGAGGUAACGGCUCACCAAGGCAACGAUACAUAGCCGACCUGAGAGGGUGAUCGGCCAAACUGGGACUGGGACAAGGCCCAGACUUCUACGGGAGGCAGCCGUAGGGGAUCUUCGGAAAUGGACGGAAGUCUGAACGAGCAACGCCGCGUGAGUGAAGAAGGUUUUCGGAUCGUAAAGCUCUGUUGUAAGAGAAGAAAGAGUGUGAGAGUGGAAAGUUCACACUGUGACGGUAUCUUACCAGAAAGGGACGGCUAACUACGUG
rnacentral:rRNA from 1 species